rnacentral:misc_RNA from 1 species
AAGUCGUAACAAGGUUUCCGUAGGUGAACCUGCGGAAGGAUCAUUAAUAAUCUUUGAUCCAUAUAAUGGAUCGGAUCAAAAUCCAUCUUGUGUGCACUGAUUGAAACCAAUAUGCUUUUGGCAGUGCAGCGUCUGGAUUUUUUUUUUUCUCGACCUGCCUGCCAAAAGUUUUUUUCAGUCUAACCAAUCCGCAAUUCCUUCCAACCUUUUUUUUUGGCCUGAAAAUUCGUUUAUAUAUUAAAUAAAAAAAAACAACCUUCAACAACGGAUCUCUUGGCUCUC